AGAGUUUGAUCCUGGCUCAGGAUGAACGCUGGCGGCGUGCUUAACACAUGCAAGUCGAACGGGAAACCUUUUAAAGAAGCUUCGGCAGAUUUAGCUGGUUUCUAGUGGCGGACGGGUGAGUAACGCGUGGGUAACCUGCCUUGUACAGGGGGAUAACAGUCAGAAAUGACUGCUAAUACCGCAUAAGCGCACAGGACCGCAUGGUCCGGUGUGAAAAACUCCGGUGGUAUAAGAUGGACCCGCGUUGGAUUAGCUGGUUGGUGGGGUAACGGCCUACCAAGGCGACGAUCCAUAGCCGGCCUGAGAGGGUGAACGGCCACAUUGGGACUGAGACACGGCCCAGACUCCUACGGGAGGCAGCAGUGGGGAAUAUUGCACAAUGGGGGAAACCCUGAUGCAGCGACGCCGCGUGAAGGAAGAAGUAUCUCGGUAUGUAAACUUCUAUCAGCAGGGAAGAAUUAGGACGGUACCUGACUAAGAAGCCCCGGCUAACUACGUGCCAGCAGCCGCGGUAAUACGUAGGUGGCGAGCGUUGUCCGGAAUUAUUGGGCGUAAAGAGCAUGUAGGCGGUUUUUUAAGUCUGGAGUGAAAAUGCGGGGCUCAACCCCGUAUGGCUCUGGAUACUGGAAGACUUGAGUGCAGGAGAGGAAAGGGGAAUUCCCAGUGUAGCGGUGAAAUGCGUAGAUAUUGGGAGGAACACCAGUGGCGAAGGCGCCUUUCUGGACUGUGUCUGACGCUGAGAUGCGAAAGCCAGGGUAGCGAACGGGAUUAGAUACCCCGGUAGUCCUGGCCGUAAACGAUGGGUACUAGGUGUAGGAGGUAUCGACCCUUUCUGUGCCGGAGUUAACGCAAUAAGUACCCCGCCUGGGGAGUACGUCCGCAAGGAUGAAACUCAAAGGAAUUGACGGGGGCCCGCACAAGCGGUGGAGUAUGUGGUUUAAUUCGACGCAACGCGAAGAACCUUACCAAGGCUUGACAUUGAAUGACCGCUUCAGAGAUGGAGCUUUCCCUUCGGGGACAUGAAAACAGGUGGUGCAUGGCUGUCGUCAGCUCGUGUCGUGGGAUGUUGGGUUAAGUCCCGCAACGAGCGCAACCCCUAUCCUAUGUUACCAGCGGGUAAUGCCGGGGACUCAUAGGAGACUGCCAAGGACAACUUGGAGGAAGGCGGGGAUGACGUCAAGUCAUCAUGCCCCUUAUGUCUUGGGCUACACACGUACUACAAUGGUCGGCAACAGAGAGAAGCGAAGCCGUGAGGCAGAGCAAACCCCAGAAACCCGAUCUCAGUUCGGAUUGCAGGCUGCAACUCGCCUGCAUGAAGUCGGA
rnacentral:rRNA from 1 species